rnacentral:misc_RNA from 1 species
GAUGAAGAACGCAGCGAAAUGCGAUAAGUAAUGUGAAUUGCAGAAUUCAGUGAAUCAUCGAAUCUUUGAACGCACCUUGCGCCCUUUGGACAUUCCGAAGGGCAUGCCUGUUUGAGUAUCAUGAACACCUCAACUCUCACGGCUUGUCCGUGAUGAGCUUGGACUUUGGGGGUCUUGCCGGCCUGUGGUCGGCUCCUCUCAAAUGGAUCAGCUUGCCAGUGUUUGGUGGCAUCACAGGUGUGAUAACUAUCUGCGAUUGUGGUUUUCCAUCAGAUAACCUUCAGUGAUAUGGAGGUUCGCUGGAGCUCACAAAUGUCUCUCCUUAGUGAGGACAGCUCUUUGAACGUUUGAUCUCAAAUCAGGUAGGACUACCCGCUGAACUUAAGCAUAUCAAUAAGCGGAGGA